rnacentral:rRNA from 1 species
UGCCUUACACAUGCAAGUCGAACGGCAGCACGGAGCUUGCUCUGGUGGCGAGUGGCGAACGGGUGAGUAAUAUAUCGGAACGUACCCUAGAGUGGGGGAUAACGUAGCGAAAGUUACGCUAAUACCGCAUACGAUCUAAGGAUGAAAGUGGGGGAUCGCAAGACCUCAUGCUCGUGGAGCGGCCAAUAUCUGAUUAGCUAGUUGGUAGGGUAAAAGCCUACCAAGGCAUCGAUCAGUAGCUGGUCUGAGAGGACGACCAGCCACACUGGAACUGAGACACGGUCCAGACUCCUACGGGAGGCAGCAGUGGGGAAUUUUGGACAAUGGGCGAAAGCCUGAUCCAGCAAUGCCGCGUGAGUGAAGAAGGCCUUCGGGUUGUAAAGCUCUUUUGUCAGGGAAGAAACGGUGAGAGCUAAUAUCUUUUGCUAAUGACGGUACCUGAAGAAUAAGCACCGGCUAACUACGUGCCAGCAGCCGCGGUAAUACGUAGGGUGCAAGCGUUAAUCGGAAUUACUGGGCGUAAAGCGUGCGCAGGCGGUUUUGUAAGUCUGAUGUGAAAUCCCCGG